rnacentral:rRNA from 1 species
GAUGAACGCUGGCGGCGUGCCUAAUACAUGCAAGUCGAGCGAACAGACGAGGAGCUUGCUCCUCUGACGUUAGCGGCGGACGGGUGAGUAACACGUGGAUAACCUACCUAUAAGACUGGGAUAACUUCGGGAAACCGGAGCUAAUACCGGAUAAUAUAUUGAACCGCAUGGUUCAAUAGUGAAAGACGGUUUUGCUGUCACUUAUAGAUGGAUCCGCGCCGCAUUAGCUAGUUGGUAAGGUAACGGCUUACCAAGGCAACGGUGCGUAGCCGACCUGAGAGGGUGAUCGGCCACACUGGAACUGAGACACGGUCCAGACUCCUACGGGAGGCAGCAGUAGGGAAUCUUCCGCAAUGGGCGAAAGCCUAACGGAGCAACGCCGCGUGAGUGAUGAAGGUCUGCGGAUCGUAAAACUCUGUUAUUAGGGAAGAACAAAUGUGUAAGUAACUAUGCACGUCUUGACGGUACCUAAUCAGAAAGCCACGGCUAACUACGU